GUGUCAGCCGCCGCGGUAAGACGAACCGUGCAAACGUUGUUCGGAAUCACUGGGCUUAAAGGGCGCGUAGGCGGCUUGUCAAGUCAGGGGUGAAAUCUUUCGGCUUAACCGGAAAAGUGCCUUUGAUACUGACAGGCUCGAGGGAGGUAGGGGUAUGUGGAACUUCUGGUGGAGCGGUGAAAUGCGUUGAUAUCAGAAGGAACGCCGGUGGCGAAAGCGACGUACUGGACCUCUUCUGACGCUGAGGCGCGAAAGCUAGGGGAGCAAACGGGAUUAGAAACCCUCGUAGUCC
rnacentral:rRNA from 1 species